rnacentral:rRNA from 1 species
GACGAACGCUGGCGGCGUGCUUAACACAUGCAAGUCGAACGAUGAAGCCGGAGCUUGCUCUGGUGAAUUAGUGGCGAACGGGUGAGUAACACGUGAGUCACCUGCCCUUGACUUUGGGAUAACUGCGGGAAACUGUAGCUAAUACCGGAUACCACCCUUGGGGGCAUCCCCUGGGGGUGGAAAGAAUAUCGCUCAAGCAUGGACUCGGUCCUAUCAGCUAGUUGGUGAGGUAAAGGCUGACCAAGGCGACGACGGGUAGCCGGCCUGCGAGGGUGACCGGCCACACUGGGACUGAGACACGGCCCAGACUCCUACGGGAGGCAGCAGUGGGGAAUAUUGCACAAUGGGCGCAAGCCUGACGCAGCAACGCCGCGUGAGGGAUGACGGCCUUCGGGUUGUAAACCUCUUUUAGCAGGGAAGAAGCGAAAGUGACGGUACCUGCAGAAAAAGCACCGGCUAACUACGUGCCAGCCGCCGCCGUAA